rnacentral:rRNA from 1 species
GAGUAAUGUCUGGGAAACUGCCUGAUGGAGGGGGAUAACUACUGGAAACGGUGGCUAAUACCGCAUAACGUCGCAAGACCAAAGAGGGGGACCUUCGGGCCUCUUGCCAUCAGAUGUGCCCAGAUGGGAUUAGCUUGUUGGUGAGGUAACGGCUCACCAAGGCGACGAUCCCUAGCUGGUCUGAGAGGAUGACCAGCCACACUGGAACUGAGACACGGUCCAGACUCCUACGGGAGGCAGCAGUGGGGAAUAUUGCACAAUGGGCGCAAGCCUGAUGCAGCCAUGCCGCGUGUAUGAAGAAGGCCUUCGGGUUGUAAAGUACUUUCAGCGGGGAGGAAGGUGUUGUGGUUAAUAACCGCAGCAAUUGAC